rnacentral:rRNA from 1 species
GACGAACGCUGGCGGCGUGCUUAACACAUGCAAGUCGAACGAAGAGCGAUGGAAGCUUGCUUCCAUCAAUCUUAGUGGCGCACGGGUGAGUAACGCGUAAUCAACCUGCCCUUCAGAGGGGGACAACAGUUGGAAACGACUGCUAAUACCGCAUACGAUCUAAUCUCGGCAUCGAGGAUAGAUGAAAGGUGGCCUCUACAUGUAAGCUAUCACUGAAGGAGGGGAUUGCGUCUGAUUAGCUAGUUGGAGGGGUAACGUCCCACCAAGGCGAUGAUCAGUAGCAGGUCUGAGAGGAUGAACGGCCACAUUGGGACUGAGACACGGCCCAGACUCCUACGGGAGGCAGCAGUGGGGAAUCUUCCGCAAUGGACGAAAGUCUGACGGAGCAACGCCGCGUGAGCGAUGACGGCCUUCGGGUUGUAAAGCUCUGUUAAUCGGGACGAAAGGCCUUCUUGCGAAUAGUGAGAAGGAUUGACGGUACCGGAAUAGAAAGCCACGGCUAACUACGUG